AUUGAACGCAGGCGGAAUGCUUUACACAUGCAAGUCGAACGGUAGAGGGGGCAGCCCCUCGAGAGUGGCGAACGGGUGAGUAAUAUAUCGGAACGUGCCCAGUCGUGGGGGAUAACGUAGCGAAAGUUACGCUAAUACCGCAUACGAUCUAAGGAUGAAAGCGGGGGAUCGCAAGACCUCGCGCGGUUGGAGCGGCCGAUAUCAGAUUAGGUAGUUGGUGGGGUAAAGGCUCACCAAGCCAACGAUCUGUAGCUGGUCUGAGAGGACGACCAGCCAAACUGGAACUGAGACACGGUCCAGACUCCUACGGGAGGCAGCAGUGGGGAAUUUUGGACAAUGGACGCAAGUCUGAUCCAGCCAUUCCGCGUGCAGGAUGAAGGCCCUCGGGUUGUAAACUGCUUUUGUACGGAACGAAAAGGUCUCUCUUAAUACGGGGGACUCAUGACGGUACCGUAAGAAUAAGCACCGGCUAACUACGUGCCAGCAGCCGCCGUAA
rnacentral:rRNA from 1 species